GUGCCAGCAGCCGCGGUAAUACGUAGGCAGCAAGCGUUGUUCGGAGUUACUGGGCGUAAAGGGUGCGUAGGCGGUUCCCUAAGUUUGGUGUGAAAUCUCCCGGCUCAACUGGGAGGGUGCGCCGAAAACUGGGGAGCUAGAGUGUGGGAGAGGUGAGUGGAAUUCCUGGUGUAGCGGUGAAAUGCGUAGAUAUCAGGAGGAACACCGGUGGUGUAGACGGCUCACUGGACCAUUACUGACGCUGAGGCACGAAAGCGUGGGUAGCAAACAGGAUUAGAAACCCUAGUAGUCC
rnacentral:rRNA from 1 species